rnacentral:rRNA from 1 species
GACGAACGCUGGCGGCGUGCUUAACACAUGCAAGUCGAACGGUGAAGGGACCGGUUUUUGCUGGUUCUGGAUGAGUGGCGAACGGGUGAGUAACACGUGAGUAACCUGCCCCCUUCUUCUGGAUAACCGCAUGAAAGUGUGGCUAAUACGGGAUAUUCUGCGCCUGCUGCAUGGUGGGUGUGGGAAAGAUAUUGUUUCGGAGGGGGAUGGGCUCGCGGCCUAUCAGCUUGUUGGUGGGGUGAUGGCCUACCAAGGCGGUGACGGGUAGCCGGCCUGAGAGGGUGGACGGUCACACUGGGACUGAGACACGGCCCAGACUCCUACGGGAGGCAGCAGUGGGGAAUAUUGCACAAUGGGCGCAAGCCUGAUGCAGCGACGCCGCGUGAGGGAUGGAGGCCUUCGGGUUGUAAACCUCUUUCGCCAGUGAAGCAGGCCUGUCCCUUUUGUGGGUGGGUUGACGGUAGCUGGAUAAGAAGCGCCGGCUAACUACGUG